rnacentral:rRNA from 1 species
GACGAACGCUGGCGGCGUGCUUAACACAUGCAAGUCGAACGAUGAAGCUGGAGCUUGCUCCGGUGGAUUAGUGGCGAACGGGUGAGUAACACGUGAGCAAUCUGCCCUUGACUCUGGGAUAACUGCGGGAAACUGUAGCUAAUACCGGAUACGAGGCUCGAAGGCAUCUUCGGGUCUGGAAAGAAUUUCGGUCAAGGAUGAGCCCGCGGCCUAUCGGCUUGUUGGUGAGGUAAUGGCUCACCAAGGCGACGACGGGUAGCCGGCCUGAGGGGUGACCGGCCACACUGGGACUGAGACACGGCCCAGACUCCUACGGGAGGCAGCAGUGGGGAAUAUUGCACAAUGGGCGAAAGCCUGAUGCAGCAACGUCGCGUGAGGGAUGAGGGCCUUCGGGUUGUAAACCUCUUUUAGCAGGGAAGAAGCGAAAGUGACGGUACCUGCAGAAAAGCACCGGCUAACUACGUGCCAGCCGCCGCCGUAA